CUCAAUGGCGGCUGUGCGCGGGCAGACUUCGGUCUGACUGGGUCCUACUCCCCGGUUUCCACCCCGCGUAUGGCUGCCACCCAA
rnacentral:antisense_RNA from 1 species